UGUGGGGUGACGGCGUGCCUAUCGAAAAAUGAGUCUGCGAGUCAGUGGCAUGUGGCGAGCAUAACCCGUGUGGGGUAUGCGUAGCGAAGGCGAGUCUUAAAAGGCGUUUGAGUCGCGUGUCCUGGACCCGAAGCGGGAUGAUCUAGCCCUGGGCAGGUUGAAGCGCGGGUAAGACCGCGUGGAGGACCGAACCCACCUGGGUUGAAAACCGGGGGGAUGACUUGGGGCUAGGGGUGAAAGGCCAAUCAAAUUCCGUGAUAGCUGGUUCUCUCCGAAAUGCAUUUAGGUGCAGCGUCGGUCGAUUGCGUCGCGGGGGUAGAGCUACCGGAUGCUUGCGGGCCCUUGUUGGGUACCAACAGCAGCCGAACUCCGAAUACCGUUGACGUGUAUUCCGGCAGUGAGUCGGCGGGGGAUAAGCUCCGUCGUCGAGAGGGAGACAGCCCAGACCGUCGUCUAAGGUCCCGAAGCGUGUGCUAAGUGGGAAAGGAUGUGGAGUCGCAUAGACAGCCAGGAGGUUGGCUCAGAAGCAGCCAUCCUUUAAAGAGUGCGUAACAGCUCACUGGUCUAGUGGUUCCGCGCCGACAAUGUAGCGGGGCUCAAGCACACCACCGAAGACGCGGCAGCAAUCUUCAUGGUUGCUGGGUAGGAGAGCGUCCUGCGAGGGGCGAAGCGGCGGUGGAAACCGGCCGUGGACUUCGUGGGAGUGAGAAUGCAGACAUGAGUAGCGAGAGACGGGUGAGGAUCCCGUCCGCUGGAUGACCAAGGGUUCCGGGGCCACGUUCGUCGUCCCCGGGUGAGUCGGGUCCUAAGGCGAGGCCGACAGGCGUAGUCGAAUGGAUGAACGGGUGGAUAUUCCCGUACCGACCAUGGACCGGCAAAACCGAGACGGUGAGUACUAACCUCCGCCUCGUGGUGGUUCCUUCCUUCGGGUUGGUUCCGCCGCGUGGUGUUGGGACUGUAGCCGUAGUAGGUCAGCGCAGGGGUGACACGGAAUGGGAGCCGGCCGCGGAGGUGGUUUUCCGUGGUCAAGCACGCAGGGCGUGGGACAGGCAAAUCCGUCCCGCAUGGGUCCGAGGUGCGAUGAUGGGGGCCUUAUGGCCCGAUAUCCGGUGAUCCCGGCUGCCGAGAAAAGCUUCGGCGUCAGGCUCAAAGCCGCCCGUACCCCAAACCGACACUGGUGGUCAGGUAGAGAAUACCAAGGCGAUCGAGCGAAUCCUGGUCAAGGAACUCGGCAAAUCACUCCCGUGCCUUCGGUAUAAGGGAGACCCGCUGGGGUGAACCGGCUAGCCCGGGGAGCUUUGGUGGGUGGCACAGACCAGGGGGUAGCGACUGUUUACCAAAAACACAGGUGCAUGCGAAGGCGCAAGCCGCUGUAUAUGCACUGACGCCUGCCCGGUGCCGGAAGGUUAAGAGGAUCCGUCAGCCUUCGGGUGAAGCGGUGAAUUCAAGCCCCGGUAAACGGCGGUGGUAACUAUAACCAUCCUAAGGUAGCGAAAUUCCUUGUCGGGUAAGUUCCGACCUGCACGAAUGGCGUAACGA
rnacentral:rRNA from 1 species